rnacentral:misc_RNA from 1 species
GAUGAAGAACGUAGCGAAAUGCGAUAAGUAGUGUGAAUUGCAGAAUUCAGUGAAUCAUCGAAUCUUUGAACGCACAUUGCGCCCCUUGGUAUUCCAUGGGGCAUGCCUUUUCGAGCGUCAUUUGUACCUUCAAGCUCUGCUUGGUGUUGGGUGUUUGUCUCGCCUCUGCGUGUAGACUCGCCUCAAAACAAUUGGCAGCCGGCGUAUUGAUUUCGGAGCGCAGUACAUCUCGCGCUUUGCACUCAUAACGACGACGUCCAAAAGUACAUUUCUACACUCUUGACCUCGGAUCAGGUAGGGAUACCCGCUGAACUUAAGCAUAUCAAUAAGCGGAGGA